rnacentral:rRNA from 1 species
GAUGAACGCUGGCGGCGUGCCUAAUACAUGCAAGUCGAGCGAAGUUUCGCUGGGCUUGCUCCUCUAAAAAUUUAGGGGCAAAGGGGGGUGAACCAUGUAUAAACCCCCUCUCAUACUGGGGUAACUUCUUGGAAACGGAUCUCAAACCCCGUAAAAUAUUAUUCCCCCUUGUUCAAUAAUUAAAAACUGGUUUUCUUUAACAUAUAGAUUUGUCUUCGCUGCAUUAGCUCUAUUGUGGGGUAACGGCUCACCAAGGCCACGAUGCGUAGCCGACCUGAGAGGGUGAUCGGCCACACUGGAACUGAGACACGGCCCAGACUCCUACGGGAGGCAGCAGUAGGGAAUCUUCCGCAAUGGGCGAAAGCCUGACGGAGCAACGCCGCGUGAGUGAAGAAGGUUUUCGGUUCGUAAAACUCUGUUGUUAGGGAAGAAUAGAUGUGUAAUAAAUAUACAAGUAAGAGACGGUACCUAACCAGAAAGCCACGGCUAACUACGUG